GGUGUGAAGAUGAUCUGGCUGCGACAUCUGUCACCCCAUUGCCCGCCAGGGUUGAUUCAGCUGAUGUGGCGAGCUUGGCAGGUAUCCCCUUCCACCCUCACCACGCCAUGUGCAUCCUUCCUGAAGCAUGUACUUGUUUGAAGAGGACGACCGUCGCUGCUAAAGGCGAACCAUUUUUAGGUCAAAGGUGUAGAAGUAGCUGUAUUCUCCUGCCAGAACCUCCAAACAAGCUCUCAAGGUCCAUGACAAAAAGACAGAAAAUCAAUUCAAGCUGGAAGGAAU
rnacentral:snRNA from 1 species